UUUUGUGCAUUUAAGGAAUUUAUUUAAGAAAGAUAAUGGGAAUACGGAUAUAUGUAUAUUUUUUGGUAUUAUUUAUAUAUCUGAAAAGGAAAAGGAAAUAAUAAUAAUAAAUAUUAUUGUUAUUAUUUGGGUCUAUAAAUAGCAUUGAAAUGCUUAAGUUAGAAAGAAAAGAAAAAAAAAAAGUUCCUCAUCUUCUUCUCUAAGAUAACCCCUCUGUUGUUGCCGUCUCAUCAGUUGAAGUUAAGAAGAUUUAAAGUGAUGAAUUUUUCCAUCAAGGAUUAGGGGAUUUUUCAGUAACCUUGGUAAGCUAAGGAUCAAGUUAAUUGGAGAAUUUUUACUGUCAGCUAGGGAGUACCUUUGUUUGGCUAAAAUCUACAGGCGAAGGUAAAGGUAGAGGAAAACUGGCGAGCGACAGAGAAGGAUUCUUGGCACGCCAUAUGGGGACUCAGUUUUGCUUCCGCGUCUAUGUUUUAGUGUUUCAGCAUUAUGUUUUUAAUGAAAAUUUAGUCUUCCCUCGUUUCAAAAAGUGUCUACUGUUAUUGUUUCUUUUUAGUAAUGUCCUCAGCUUAGUAUAAAGAGUUGGGUCGUUACAGUUGAUUUCAGAGCGUCAGCUUUUAGGUUAUGUAGACUAACUUACGAUGUGAGUUUUUGAUUUUGUCCCUUUGGCUAUUACGGUCCUUCGUUACUCGCCGGGUAUGUAUUUUAUGAUACAUGAUUAU